rnacentral:rRNA from 1 species
UACGGGGGGGGCAAGCGUUGUUCGGAAUUACUGGGCGUAAAGGGCUCGUAGGCGGCCAACUAAGUCAGACGUGAAAUCCCUCGGCUUAACCGGGGAACUGCAUCUGAUACUGGAUGGCUUGAGAUUGGGAGAGGGAUGCGGAAUUCCAGGUGUAGCGGUGAAAUGCGUAGAGAUCUGGAGGAACACCGAUGGCGAAGGCAGCCUUCUGGGCCAACACUGACGCUCAUGCACGAAAGCGUGGGGAGCAAACAGG